GGGCAUGUAGCUCAGUGAUAGAGCAUGUGCUUUGCAUGCUUAAGGCCCUGAGUUCGAUCCCUGACAUCUCCU
rnacentral:tRNA from 1 species